rnacentral:rRNA from 1 species
AUGCAUGCCACCAUCUCAGGAAAACAAAGAUGCAUAUCUCCCCCGCUGCCGCCGGCAACCCGGAGCCCUAGGGUUUGCUGGGAAACGAUGCAAGGAGAUUUGGUUCGGCUGGUCGCGUCGCGCUUGCUGGCCGGCGAUUUACUGGAUUACGUCCGUUUCCGUGCUGUCUGUGUGCAAUGGCGAUCAGAGACUCUCUGCCCGCGUGGCCGGGGCGUCGUUGAUCCACGUUUCCACCCGCGCCGCUGGACGAUGUUCCCCGAGGGCCGUGGCCUUUAUCCUGGACACCCCGGGCUGGGUGACUAUGUCCGCUUCUUCAACCUAGACUCAGGUGUCUUUGUCCGUGUCCGCCUCCCGCUGUUUACCAACCAUUGUAUUCUUGAUUCGGUCUACGGCCUACUCCUCCUCCAGAGGGAUGAAGACACAGCCGUCCGUCUCCUCCACCCUUUCACCGGUGACAUCGUUGAGCUUCCACGGCUCACCACCCUGGUCUCGCAGAAGCCCGAGGGAGGAGCUUGGCCCCUCGAGAUCAAGACGAUGAGAUACAUCUCUACUAGUGCUUCCUUUGUUGCAGGAGCUGUCACUAUUUUGAUUACCUUCAAUUUGAACAAAGGAGAAGAUUACACGUAUACGUUAACAGGAGGUCCAUCACCCGAGUGGAAAGUGAAAGAAGAGUUUCGAGCUGGCGUAAUGGUUGUUCUAGUGUUUGGAGUUGCAUUCAUCAAGGCGGUUGUGUUGACAUGGCUUCAAAACCUUCUCCAGUGUGAACUUCUAGGAAUGGUUAUGUUUGGUGAUGAGUUGAAUAGUUCUGAAAAAAAUGCCUGCGAUCAAGAUGGAGCUUCAGAGGUUAAUACUGAUGCUCCAAUAUCUGAUGCGGCUAAUUCACCCAUUAUCCCUUUGACUGUGAUUGCCGAGGUUGCUUCGAGCCUUGAGAAUUUUUCAAGCCUUGAGGAUGUUGCUUCUGCAGCUCUUGCUUCACCUAAUGUAUCCAUAGAGGGGGAAGUUGUGAACACCAUCAAUGAUGUUUUAUCUGAGUUGGGUUUAUCAGAAACCCCUACUGCUGCUGAGGAGGGGGCUCCGUCAGUCAAAGGUUGUGAUUCCGUUCCGGAUCCUUUGUGCUCUGUUCAGAUGUCAGAGACGCAGUCGCAGUCUGUUGAUGGCACUGAACCAGUCAUGCAACCCGAGGAUGUGCCUCUUCAGCUUCUCCUGGAGGAGCAACGUAAGAGGAUGAAGCAAGAAGAUUUAGACAAGAAGAGGGCGGCCCGCCUUGAGAAAGGUUCUGAUGUUCCUGGAUCUGUUCAUGUGGCUGAGCUCGCUGUUGAGGAAGACGUGUCGUGUGGUAGUGAUGGCACGGUUGUCCCUGUUAAGAAGAAAAUCAAUAAGACUGCUGCGAGGAAGCUAGUAGUUGGUGAAGUUACUCCUCGGAAGAGCGCACGUGUUUCAAGUCCUGCAGAAGUUGUUGAAGAUCAAGGGUUAGGCCUUGGUGGUACGCCACGCCAUAGUCCUCGUGUGCUUGCCACUGCCUCGCCUACACCUUCUCUGCUUGGUGCCGGUGCAUCUGGUAAGGGGAAGAAAUGCGGCGUGAAGCGCAAGGUUCCACCUGCAAAGGUCAACAAGGGUGUGAAGAAGCGUUCUUGUGUUAAUCCAGAGGACAAUGAUGAUGCUGAUUUCAAUGUUGAUGAUGAGGACGACGUCGAUGAUGAUGCUACCGCUAAUCAGUAUCAGCUUGUGCAGCGGCCUCAGAGGAGGAAGAGAGGAAGCAAAGCGCCCGAAGAAGGUGGCCAAAGAGGAGGUGAGGCGAAAUGUUUUAACAAGAUGGUUCGCUGCUCACUGAAAGAGGUCAAGACGUGUGCGAAAAUGCUACAACUUAGGCACAAGACGAGGGUUAUCAAUGCUGGUUUUGGUUGUGUGUUUGACUUGAAGGUUGAUUCCGACAUUUCUCAUCCUUUGAUGGGCAACAUCUACACGAGGAUUGACCCCUCAACCAUGAUUUUGGACAUGGGUGAGGCGAACAAGGUUCUACGUAUUACAAGUGAUGUUAUUCACCAUCUCUUUGGGUUCCCUCAAGGUAAUCGUACCCCCCCUAGGCCCUCGAAUGAUGGUUUCAAUGAUGUUGUUAUGAGGUUGAAGGGCAAGCUUGGGUAUGCUAGGAGUGACGACAUCAAGACAAAGGAUUUGCGGAAUAUCCUCGCUGAACUUGUUAAGGAUGAGACGAAGGAUGAUCUUGCUCUGGAGGCAGCAAUGGCCGAGAACCUUGUGUUUGAGGACAUGGCAGACAUGGACUACUGCCAGUUGGUUGUUGACGAUAUUCAGAGUGCUGUUGUUAGGUAUCAGCAAGGUACUAGUAGAGGAAAAGCUGUCACAGGUUGUGCCAUCGCGCCGCUGCUUAUGUAUCUAGACUGCCUUAUCAUUGGCAAGACGCCUAAUAUUGACUUGAGGACCCCUCGCAUCAAUUUCAUGGAUCAGGCCAAGCUUCUUGAGCUUGCUGCGGCUGACUUGGUCAUGAAGGGUGAUGAUGACCCAGCCAACUGGGUGUUUGGGAGACUGCCUAUUAGUUGGAAGACACAGGCUGAGGUUGUGUUCUUUAGGGUUAUUGAACGUCCUGUUCUAUCUAUGCCUCGUUCCGCCGGCCUAGGGAGUGGAACUUCCCCAAGAUUUGAAUUCUCCCGGGAUGUUAAUACCGCUGCCAAUGUUUCUCUGGUUAGGAUUGACAGUCUUCUUGAAACUAUUUGUGGGGAGUUGGCUCGAGUUCCUUCAACUGCUGAGCGUCUUAGUCGCAUUGAUGGGAUUCUUCCUCCCGGACACGGAUUUGAUGCUGAGUCUUCGAAGGAGGUCUUAUCUAUUGAAGCUAAAUUUCUUGAAGAGCUUCGUCAGAGCACUUCCCACCUCCGGACUAGCGUUGGGAUGUUCAAGGAAAUGCAGGAUGCUCGUUGCAAGCCUUUUGAAGAUGAGGCAAGUGUUGUUGUGAGACAGAUUCAGAGGCAGGAUUCUGUUUGUUCGGGUCAUGAAGGAGGCCACGUGGAGCAUACCAAAGAGGCUGUUGAUGAUGAUGCUAGGGUUGAGGACGAUGUUUUACCUGCGCAUGAAGCUGCUCCUGUGCAUGAGGCUGCCCCUGUGCAUGAACCUGCUCCCGCUAGUGGCAUAAUAGUUGAUGAGGUUCAUGGCAGUGAAAAUAAGCAGCAGAAUGAUGAUGUUAGUGUUGCUCCAGAGAAGGUUGUAGACAUGUCCGUCUCAGGCACCGGCUGCUCCAACGGGGUGGUCCUGACUGAACCUCAGUCGUCCGUUGGCGCUGAGGUUUCUGAUGCUGAGCAGGGCAAGACAACUGGAGACAUCAUUUUGGAGAAAGAUCAUGUUGAGUCUGCUGUACAAACUGGUCGUAGUGCUGCUGCAAGCCCGGAGAAGUCUCCUGUAGCAGAGCCAUCAGUUGAUGUUGAUGUUGUACAGGCACAACCAAAUGUUUUUCUUGUUUCAGAUUCUCCAGUUGCUCCAGCUACUUCUGGUGUCCUUCCCGACGACGCUGCAACGUCUACUGGAGACGACGAUGAAGAUACCGAAAGCGAUAGCUAUGGAGAGGAGGUUGAUCAUUCCAGUGCUGCCACUGAUAGCGACCUUGCUGUCGUCCGAAAGAAGGUUGACGACUUUUAUUAUAGUGUAACUAGGCUUAGGAAUGAUCGUUCCAAGAGAGAAAUGAUUAUGUUCCGGAAGAAGGAGUGUGAAGCUUAUGUUCAAGAAGUCGCAAUAUCUUUUGGUCCUCGCGGAAUGCUUACAUCUAAUGUGGCUGAGUGUGCACCCUACUGUCUACGUGCGAAGUACCAGGGAUCGGAUAAACUCAUCCUGCCGUAUUGGGUUUGUGACAAGAUUUUCAGAGGUCAAUUUGAUUCCCGUGUGAGGAAGUACUUCAUGACGAGUGGUCCAGAUAGCAUGGAUGCACAUGAUUCGGUUGUUUUCCCUACUUUUGACCCGCCUGAGAUUCCUACUUCCAUGGGUGGUGUCAGUCAUUGGGUGUCGGUAUUCCUUGACUUGAAGAAUUCAAGUAUCGACUGCGGAUUCUUCAUGCUUACGAAUGUUAAGUCGUAUCAUGACGGGGUUCUUGCAAAUUAUUCCCAUGAGAAUAUCGGGGAUAUCAGGAAGACGUGGCUGUACUCAAUCGCUUCUUCUAUCCUGUUUGAGACAGACUUCCAAGCUCUGUUUGGCUACUACACAUAGACUCUCUGCCCGCGUGGCCGGGGCGUCGUUGAUCAACGUUUCCACCCGCGCCGCUGGACGAUGUUCCCCGAGGGCCGUGGCCUUUAUCCUGGACACCCCGGGCUGGGUGACUAUGUCCGCUUCUUCAACCUAGACUCAGGUGUCUUUGUCCGUGUCCGCCUCCCGCUGUUUACCAACCAUUGUAUUCUUGAUUCGGUCUACGGCCUACUCCUCCUCCAGAGGGAUGAAGACACAGUCGUCCGUCUCCUCCACCCUUUCACCGGUGACAUCGUUGAGCUUCCACGGCUCACCACCCUGGUCUCGCAGAAGCCCGAGGGAGGAGCUUGGCCCCUCGAGAUCAAGACGAUGAGAUACAUCUCUACUAGUGCUUCCUUUGUUGCAGGAGCUGUCACUGUUUUGAUUACCUUCAAUUUGAACAAAGGAGAAGAUUACACAUAUACGUUAACAGGAGGUCCAUCACCCGAGUGGAAAGUGAAGGAAGAGUUUCGAGCUGGCGUAAUGGUUGUUCUAGUGUUUGGAGUUGCAUUCAUCAAGGCGGUUGUGUUGUCAUGGCUUCAAAACCUUCUCCAGUUUGAAAAAAAUGCCUGCGAUCAAGAUGGAGCUUCAGAGGUUAAUACUGAUGCUCCAAUAUCUGAUGCGGCUAAUUCACCCAUUAUCCCUUUGACUGUGAUUGCCGAGGUUCCUUCGAGCCUUGAGAAUUUUUCAAGCCUUGAGGAUCUUGCUUCUGUAGCUCUUGCUUCACCUAAUGUAUCCACAGAGGAGGAAGUUGUGAACACCAUCAAUGAUGUUUUAUCUGAGUUCGGUUUAUCAGAAACCCCUACUUCUGCUGAGGAGGGGGCUCCGUCAGUCAAAGGUUGUGAUUCCGUUCCGGAUCCUUUGUGCUCUGUUCAGAUGUCAGAGACGCAGUCGCAGUCUGUUGAUGGCACUGAACCAGUCACGCAACCCGAGGAUGUGCCUCUUCAGCUUCUCCUGGAGGACCAACGUAAGAGGAUGAAGCAAGAAGAUUUAGACAAGAAGAGGGCGGCCCGCCUUGAGAAAGGUUCUGAUGUUCCUGGAUCUAUUCAUGCGGCUGAGCUCGCUGUUGAGGAAGACGUGUCGUGUGGUAGUGAUGGCACGGUUGUCCCUGUUAAGAAGAAAAUCAAGAAGACUGCUGCGAGGAAGCUAGUAGUUGGUGAAGUUACUCCUCGGAAGAGCCCACGUGUUUCAAGGCCUGCAGAAGUUGUUGAAGACCAAGGGUUAGGCCUUGGUGGUACGCCACGCCAUAGUCCUCGUGUGCUUGCCACUGUCUCGCCUACACCUUCUCUGCUUGGUGCCGGUGCAUCUGGUAAGGGGAAGAAAUGCGGCGUGAAGCGCAAGGUUCCACCUGCAAAGGUCAACAAGGGUGUGAAGAAGCGUUCUCGUGUUAAUCCAGAGGACAAUGAUGAUGCUGAUUUCAAUGUUGAUGAUGAGGACGACUAUCAGCUUGUGCAGCGGCCUGAGAGGAGGAAAGAGGAGGCAAAGCGCCCGAAGAAGGUGGCCAAAGAGGAGGUUGAUUCCAACAUUUCUCGUCCUUUGAUUGGCAACAUCUACACGAGGAUUGACCCCUCAACCAUGAUUUUGGACAUGGGUGAGGCGAACAAGGUUCUACGUAUUACAAGUGAUGUUAUUCACCAUCUCUUUGGGUUCCCUCAAGGUAAUCGUACCCCCCCUAGGCCCUCGAAUGAUGGUUUCGAUGAUGUUGUUAUGAGGUUGAAGGGCAAGCUUGGGUAUGCUAGGAGUGACGACAUCAAGACAAAGGAUUUGCGGAAUAUCCUCGCUGAACUUGUUAAGGAUGAGACGAAGGAUGAUCUUGCUCUGGAGGUAGCAAUGGCCGAGAACCUUGUGUUUGAGGACAUGGCAGACAUGGACUACUGCCAGUUGGUUGUUGACGAUAUUCAGAGUGUUGUUGUUAGGUAUCAGCAAGGUACUAGCAGAGGAAAAGCUGUCACAGGUUGUGCCAUCGCGCCGCUGCUUAUGUAUCUAGACUGCCUUAUCAUUGGCAAGACGCCUAAUAUUGACUUGAGGACCCCUCGCAUCAAUUUCAUGGAUCAGGCCAAGCUUCUUGAGCUUGCUGCGGCUGACUUGGUCACGAAGGGUGAUGAUGACCCAGCCAACUGGGUGUUUGGGAGACUGCCUUGGAAGACACAGGCUGAGGUUGUGUUCUUUAGGGUUACCGAACGUCCUGUUCUAUCUAUGCCUCGUUCCGCCGGCCUAGGGAGUGGAACUUCCCCAAGAUUUGAAUUCUCCCGGGAUGUUAAUACCGCUGCCAAUGUUUCUCUGGUUAGGAUUGACAGUCUUCUUGAAACUAUUUGUGGGGAGUUGGCUCGUGUUCCUUCAACUGCUGAGCGUCUUAGUCGCAUUGAUGGGAUUCUUCCUCCCGGACACGGAUUUGAUGCUGAGUCUUCGAAAGAGGUCUUAUCUAUUGAAGCUAAAUUUCUUGAAGAGCUUCGUCAGAGCACUUCCCACCUCCGGACUAGCGUUGGGCUGUUCAAGGAAAUGCAGGAUGCUCGUUGCAAGCCUUUUGAAGAUGAGGCAAGUGUUGUUGUGAGACAGAUUCAGAGGCAGGAUUCUGUUCGUUCGGGUCAUGAAGGAGGCCACGUGGAGCGUACCAAAGAGGAGGAUGUUUUACCUGCGCAUGAAGCUGCUCCUGUGCAUGAGGCUGCCCCUGUGCAUGAACCUGCUCCCGCUAGUGGCAUAAUAGUUGAUGAGGUUCAUGGCAGUGAAAAUAAGCAGCAGAAUGAUGAUGUUAGUGUUGCUCCAGAGAAGGUUGUAGACAUGUCCGUCUCAGGCACCGGCUGCUCCAACGGGGUGGUCCUGACUGAACCUCAGUCGUCCGUUGGCGCUGAGGUUUCUGAUGCUGAGCAGGGCAAGACAACUGGAGACAUCAUUUUGGAGAAAGAUCAUGUUGAGUCUGCUGUACAAACUGGUCGUAGUGCUGCUGCAAGCCCGGAGAAGUCUCCUGUAGCAGAGCCAUCAGUUGAUGUUGAUGCUGUACAGACACAACCAAAUGUUUUUCUUGUUUCAGAUUCUCCAGUUGCUCCAGCUACUUCUGGUGUCCUUCCCGACGACACUGCAACGUCUACUAGAGACGACGAUGAAGAUACCGAAAGCGAUAGCUAUGGAGAGGAGGUUGAUCAUUCCAGUGCUGCCACUGAUAGCGACCUUGCUGUCGUCCGAAAGAAGGUUGACGACUUUUAUUACAGUGUAACUAGGCUUAGGAAUGAUCGUUCCAAGAGAGAAAUGAUUAUGUUCCGGAAGAAGGAGUGUGAAGCUUAUGUUCAAGAAGUCGCAAUAUCUUUUGGUCCUCGCGGAAUGCUUACAUCUAAUGUGGCUGAGUGUGCACUCUACUGUCUAAGUGCGAAGUACCAGGGAUCGGAUAAACUCAUCCUGCCGUAUUGGGUUUGUGUUGUUUUCCCUACUUUUUACCCGCCUGAGAUUCCUGCUUCCAUGGGUGGUGUCGGUCAUUGGGUGUCGGUAUUCCUUGACCUGAAGAAUUCAAGUAUCGACUGCGGAUUCUUCAUGCUUACGAAUGUUAAGUCGUAUCAUGACGGGGUUCUUGCAAAUUAUUCCCAUGAGAAUAUCGGGGAUAUCAGGAAGACGUGGCUGUACUCAAUCGCUUCUUCUAACCUGUUUGAGACAGACUUCCAAGCUCUGUUUGGCUACUACACAUAGACUCUCUGCCCGCGUGGCCGUGGCGUCGUUGAUCAACGUUUCCACCCGCGCCGCUGGACGAUGUUCCCCGAGGGCCGUGGCCUUUAUCCUGGACACCCCGGGCUGGGUGACUAUGUCCGCUUCUUCAACCUAGACUCAGGUGUCUUUGUCCGUGUCCGCCUCCCGCUGUUUACCAACCAUUGUAUUCUUGAUUCGGUCUACGGCCUACUCCUCCUCCAGAGGGAUGAAGACACAGCCGUCCGUCUCCUCCACCCUUUCACCGGUGACAUCGUUGAGCUUCCACGGCUCACCACCCUGGUCUCGCAGAAGCCCGAGGGAGGAGCUUGGCCCCUCGAGAUCAAGACGAUGAGAUACAUCUCUACUAGUGCUUCCUUUGUUGCAGGAGCUGUCACUGUUUUGAUUACCUUCAAUUUGAACAAAGGAGAAGAUUACACAUAUACGUUAACAGGAGGUCCAUCACCCGAGUGGAAAGUGAAGGAAGAGUUUCGAGCUGGCGUAAUGGUUGUUCUAGUGUUUGGAGUUGCAUUCAUCAAGGCGGUUGUGCUGUCAUGGCUUCAAAACCUUCUCCAGAUGUCAGAGACGCAGUCGCAGUCUGUUGAUGGCACUGAACUAGUCACGCAACCCGAGGAUGUGCCUCUUCAGCUUCUCCUGGAGGACCAACGUAAGAGGAUGAAGCAAGAAGAUUUAGACAAGAAGAGGGCGGCCCGCCUUGAGAAAGGUUCUGAUGUUCCUGGAUCUGUUCAUGCGGCUGAGCUCGCUGUUGAGGAAGACGUGUCGUGUGGUAGUGAUGGCACGGUUGUCCCUGUUAAGAAGAAAAUCAAGAAGACUGCUGCGAGGAAGCUAGUAGUUGGUGAAGUUACUCCUCGGAAGAGCCCACGUGUUUCAAGGCCUGCAGAAGUUGUUGAAGAUCAAGGGUUAGGCCUUGGUGGUACGCCACGCCAUAGUCCUCGUGUGCUUGCCACUGUCUCGCCUACACCUUCUCUGCUUGGUGCCGGUGCAUCUGGUAAGGGGAAGAAAUGCGGCGUGAAGCGCAAGGUUCCACCUGCAAAGGUCAACAAGGGUGUGAAGAAGCGUUCUCGUGUUAAUCCAGAGGACAAUGAUGAUGCUGAUUUCAAUGUUGAUGAUGAGGACGACUAUCAGCUUGUGCAGCGGCCUGAGAGGAGGAAGAGAGGAGGCAAAGCGCCCGAAGAAGGUGGCCAAAGAGGAGGUGAGGCGAAAUGUUUUAACAAGACGGUUCGCUGCUCACUGAAAGAGGUCAAGACGUGUGCGAAAAUGCUACAACUUAGGCACAAGACGAGGGUUAUCAAUGCUGGUUUUGGUUGUGUGUUUGACUUGAAGGUUGAUUCCAACAUUUCUCGUCCUUUGAUGGGCAACAUCUACACGAGGAUUGACCCCUCAACCAUGAUUUUGGACAUGGGUGAGGCGAACAAGGGCAAGCUUGGGUAUGCUAGGAGUGACGACAUCAAGACAAAGGAUUUGCGGAAUAUCCUCGCUGAACUUGUUAAGGAUGAGACGAAGGAUGAUCUUGCUCUGUAUCAGCAAGGUACUAGCAGAGGAAAAGCUGUCACAGGUUGUGCCAUCGCGCCGCUGCUUAUGUAUCUAGAGUGCCUUAUCAUUGGCAAGACGCCUAAUAUUGAAUUGAGGACCCCUCGCAUCAAUUUCAUGGAUCAGGCUAAGCUUCUUGAGCUUGCUGCGGCUGACUUGGUCACGAAGGGUGAUGAUGACCCAGCCAACUGGGUGUUUGGGAGACUGCCUUGGAAGACACAGGCUGAGGUUGUGUUCUUUAGGGUUAUUGAACGUCCUGUUCUAUCUAUGCCUCGUUCUGCCGGCCUAGGGAGUGGAACUUCCCCAAGAUUUGAAUUCUCCCGGGAUGUUAAUACCGCUGCCAAUGUUUCUCUGGUUAGGAUUGACAGUCUUCUUGAAACUAUUUGUGGGGAGUUGGCUCGUGUUCCUUCAACUGCUGAGCGUCUUAGUCACAUUGAUGGGAUUCUUCCUCCCGGACACGGAUUUGAUGCUGAGUCUUCGAAGGAGGUCUUAUCUAUUGAAGCUAAAUUUCUUGAAGAGCUUCGUCAGAGCACUUCCCACCUCCGGACUAGCGUUGGGCUGUUCAAGGAAAUGCAGGAUGCUCGUUGCAAGCCUUUUGAAGAUGAGGCAAGUGUUGUUGUGAGACAGAUUCAGAGGCAGGGUUCUGUUCGUUCGGGUCAUGAAGGAGGCCACGUGGAGCGUACCAAAGAGGCUGUUGAUGAUGAUGCUAGGGUUGAGGAGGAUGUUUUACCUGUGCAUGAAGCUGCUCCUGUGCAUGAGGCUGCCCCUGUGCAUGAACCUGCUCCCGCUAGUGGCAUAAUAGUUGAUGAGGUUCAUGGCAGUGAAAAUAAGCAGGAGAAUGAUGAUGUUAGUGUUGCUCCAGAGAAGGGCAAGACAACUGGAGACAUCAUUUUGAAGAAAGAUCAUGUUGAGUCUGCUGUACAAACUGGUCGUAGUGCUGCUGCAAGCCCGGAGAAGUCUCAUGUAGCAGAGCCAUCAGUUGAUGUUGAUGCUGUACAUGCACAACCAAAUGUUUUUCUUGUUUCAGAUUCUCCAGUUGCUCCAGCUACUUCUGGUGUCCUUCCCAACGACACUGCAACGUCUACUGGAGACGACGAUGAAGAUACCGAAAGCGAUAGCUAUGGAGAGGAGGUUGAUCAUUCCAAUAGCGACCUUGCUGUCGUCCGAAAGAAGGUUGACGACUUUUAUUACAGUGUAACUAGGCUUAGGAAUGAUCGUUCCAAGAGAGAAAUGAUUAUGUUCCGGAAGAAGGAGUGUGAAGCUUAUGUUCAAGAAGUCGCAAUAUCUUUUGGUCCUCGCGGAAUUCUUACAUCUAAUGUGGCUGAGUGUGCACUCUACUGUCUACGUGCAAAGUACCAGGGAUCGGAUAAACUCAUCCUGCCGUAUUGGGUUUGUGACAAGAUUUCCAGAGGUCAAUUUGAUUCCCGUGUGAGGAAGUACUUCACGACGAGUGGUCCAGAUAGCAUGGAUGCACAUGAUUCGGUUGUUUUCCCUACUUUUGACCCGCCUGAGAUUCCUGCUUCCAUGGGUGGUGUCGGUCAUUGGGUGUCGGUAUUCCUUGACCUGAAGAAUUCAAGUAUCGACUGCGGAUUCUUCAUGCUUACGAAUGUUAAGUCGUAUCAUGACGGGGUUCUUGCAAAUUAUUCCCAUGAGAAUAUCGGGGAUAUCAGGAAGACGUGGCUGUACUCAAUCACUUCUUCUAACCUGUUUGAGACAGACUUCCAAGCUCUGUUUGGCUACUACACAUAGACUCUCUGCCCACGUGGCCGUGGCGUCGUUGAUCCACGUUUCCACCCGCGCCGCUGGACGAUGCUCCCCGAGGGCCGUGGCCUUUAUCCUGGACACCCCGGGCUGGGUGACUAUGUCCGCUUCUUCAACCUAGACUCAGGUGUCUUUGUCCGUAUCCGCCUCCCGCUGUUUACCAACCAUUGUAUUCUUGAUUCGGUCUACGGCCUACUCCUCCUCCAGAGGGAUGAAGACACAGCCGUCCGUCUCCUCCACCCUUUCACCGGUGACAUCGUUGAGCUUCCACGGCUCACCACCCUGAUCUUGCAGAAGCCCGAGGGAGGAGCUUGGCCCCUCGAGAUCAAGACGAUGAGAUACAUCUCUACUAUUGGUGAUGAGUUGAAUAGUUCUGAAAAAAAUGCCUGCGAUCAAGAUGGAGCUUCAAAGGUUAAUACUGAUGCUCCAAUAUCUGAUGCGGCUAAUUCACCCAUUAUCCCUUUGACUGUGAUUGCCGAGGUUGCUUCGAGCCUUGGGAAUUUUUCAAGCCUUGAGGAUCUUGCUUCUGCAGCUCUUGCUUCACCUAAUGUAUCCACAGAGGAGGAAGUUGUGAACACCAUCAACGAUGUUUUAUCUGAGUUGGGUUUAUCAGAAACCCCUACUGCUGCUGAGGAGGGGGCUCCGUCAGUCAAAGAAGUUGUUGAAGAUGAAGGGUUAGGCCUUGGUGGUACGCCACGCCAUAGUCCUCGCGUGCUUGCCACUGCCUCGCCUACACCUUCUCUGCUUGGUGCCGGUGCAUCUGGUAAGGGGAAGAAAUGCGGCGUGAAGCGCAAGGUUCCACCUGCAAAGGUCAACAAGGGUGUGAAGAAGCGUUCUCGUGUUAAUCCAGAGGACAAUGAUGAUGCUGAUUUCAAUGCUGAUGAUGAGGACGACGUCGAUGAUGAUGAUGCCGCUAAUCAGUAUCAGCUUGUGCAGCGGCCUGAGAGGAGGAAGAGAGGAGGCAAAGCGCCCGAAGAAGGUGGCCAAAGAGGAGGUGAGGCGAAAUGUUUUAACAUGACGGUUCGCUGCUCACUGAAAGAGGUCAAGACGUGUGCGAAAAUGCUACAACUUAGGCACAAGACGAGGGUUAUCAAUGCUGGUUUUGGUUGUGUGUUUGACUUGAAGGUUGAUUCCAACAUUUCUCGUCCUUUGAUGGGCAACAUCUACACGAGGAUUGACCCCUCAACCAUGAUUUUGGACAUGGGUGAGGCGAACAAGGUUCUACGUAUUACAAGUGAUGUUAUUCACCAUCUCUUUGGGUUCCCUCAAGGUAAUCGUACCCCCCCUAGGCCCUCGAAUGAUGGUUUCGAUGAUGUUGUUAUGAGGUUGAAGGGCAAGCUUGGGUAUGCUAGGAGUGACGACAUCAAGACAAAGGAUUUGCGGAAUAUCCUCGCUGAACUUGUUAAGGAUGAGACGAAGGAUGAUCUUGCUCUGUAUCAGCAAGGUACUAGCAGAGGAAAAGCUGUCACAGGUUGUGCCAUCGCGCCGCUGCUUAUGUAUCUAGACUGCCUUAUCAUUGGCAAGACGCCUAAUAUUGACUUGAGGACCCCUCGCAUCAAUUUCAUGGAUCAGGCCAAGCUUCUUGAGCUUGCUGCGGCUGACUUGGUCACGAAGGGUGAUGAUGACCCAGCCAACUGGGUGUUUGGGAGACUGCCUUGGAAGACACAGGCUGAGGUUGUGUUCUUUAGGGUUAUUGAACGUCAUGUUCUAUCUAUGCCUUGUUCCGCCGGCCUAGGGAGUGGAACUUCCCCAAGAUUUGAAUUCUCCCGGGAUGUUAAUACCGCUGCCAAUGUUUCUCUGGUUAGGAUUGACAGUCUUCUUGAAACUAUUUGUGGGGAGUUGGCUCGUGUUCCUUCAACUGCUGAGCGUCUUAGUCGCAUUGAUGGGAUUCUUCCUCCCGGACACGGAUUUGAUGCUGAGUCUUCGAAGGAGGUCUUAUCUAUUGAAGCUAAAUUUCUUGAAGAGCUUCGUCAGAGCACUUCCCACCUCUGGACUAGCGUUGGGCUGUUCAAGGAAAUGCAGGAUGCUCGUUGCAAGCCUUUUGAAGAUGAGGCAAGUGUUGUUGUGAGACAGAUUCAGAGGGUUGAGGAGGAUGUUUUACCUGCGCAUGAAGCUGCUCCUGUGCAUGAGGCUGCCCCUGUGCAUGAACCUGCUCCCGCUAGUGGCAUAAUAGUUGAUGAGGUUCAUGGCAGUGAAAAUAAGCAGCAGAAUGAUGAUGUUAGUGUUGCUCCAGAGAAGGUUGUAGACAUGUCCGUAUCAGGCACCGGCUGCUCCAACGGGGUGGUCCUGACUGACCCUCAGUCGUCCGUUGGCGCUGAGGUUUCUGAUGCUGUGCAGGGCAAGACAACUGGAGACAUCAUUUUGGAGAAAGAUCAUGUUGAGUCUGCUGUACAAGCUGGUCGUAGUGCUGCUGCAAGCCCGGAGAAGUCUCCUGUAGCAGAGCCAUCAGUUGAUGUUGAUGUUGUACAGGCACAACCAAAUGUUUUUCUUGUUUCAGAUUCUCCAGUUGCUCCAGCUACUUCUGGUGUCCUUCCCGACGACACUGCAACGUCUACUAGAGACGACGAUGAAGAUACCGAAAGCGAUAGCUAUGGAGAGGAGGUUGAUCAUUCCAGUGCUGCCACUGAUAGCGACCUUGCUGUCGUCCGAAAGAAGGUUGACGACUUUUAUUACAGUGUAACUAGGCUUAGGAAUGAUCGUUCCAAGAGAGAAAUGAUUAUGUUCCGGAAGAAGGAGUGUGAAGCUUAUGUUCAAGAAGUCGCAAUAUCUUUUGGUCCUCGCGGAAUGCUUACAUCUAAUGUGGCUGAGUGUGCACUCUACUGUCUACGUGCGAAGUACCAGGGAUCGGAUAAACUCAUCCUGCCGUAUUGGGUUUGUGACAAGAUUUUCAGAGGUCAAUUAGAUUCCCGUGUGAGGAAGUACUUCACGACGAGUGGUCCAGAUAGCAUGGAUGCACAUGAUUCGGUUGUUUUCCCUACUUCUGACCCGCCUGAGAUUCCUGCUUCCAUGGGUGGUGUCGGUCAUUGGGUGUCGGUAUUCCUUCACCUGAAGAAUUCAAGGUUCCAUCUUCUCGAUUCCUACUAUGGACCAAAAGAUGAAUGUGCGGUACGCCUGUUUCGGUGGAUGACCGACAACAUCAAGAGGCUUUGGAAGGAUGCCAGCAACGACAGCGAGACACCCUUCAGUCCUCUUACCAUCGACAAUUUCCCUCUGGAUUAG